UUUCACCAUGAGGACAAUGGUGACUUUAAAACAGUAACAGAGUUUAAUGUCUGUGAUAGGAGACAACGGAGGAUGGAUCAAUAACAUCGUAGUUACUCCACAAUAUUAACCUAAAUGACAAGAGGGAAAAGAAGGAAAAACUCGCUAAAUCAACAUUGUUUCCAUGUCAAUUUAAACAAAAAUAAUCUAUGGGAUGACGUUGAAUCAAAGUGGAAAUAUAAUUGGAUUUUCAAAAAAGUAAUCAAUGUAAAGGCAUUUAAUCUUUUUUUCACCCAACUUUGACAACUCAACCAAGUGUAAAUCAAAACUAGACGUUGAUCUGUGCCCAGUCGAGGGACUGUUCGAGAAGUUAUUGGUUUUCAGUCUGCUCCUCUCCGCCCUGUUCCUCUUGUAGGUCUCACCUAGUAGUCCCCCUGCACCUCAAAUGGGCACCAUUUCACAUGGAAGAAACGUAGACUCCCUUUAAUACAGUGAAUAUGCCAAUAAAAAUGUGAUGCAUCUUUUCAUGUAACAAAAACAGUCUUUUUUUUCCUCAGUUGCAGCUGGUAAGGAUUCUGAGAAAACAUCUGGAAUCAAUAACUGGAAUGACUGGUUCUGUUGAUGGAAAAAAAACACAGAACACUACCUGAUACGGAAACUAAAAGAACACUUCCAUUUCAAAUGUAGGAUGAUGCCUCAUGUUUUUCCAGGACCAGACAGAGUGGUAGGAUGAUGCCUCAUGUUGUUUCCAGGACCAGACAGAGGAGAGUGGUAGGAUGAUACAUCAUGUUGUUUCCAGGACCAGACUGAGUGGUAGGAUGAUACAUCAUGUUGUUUCCAGGACCAGACAGAGGAGAGUGGUAGGAUGAUGCCUCAUGUUUUUUCCAGGACCAGACUGAGUGGUAGGAUGAUGCAUCAUGUUGUUUCCAGGACCAGACAGAGGAGAGUGGUAGGAUGAUGCCUCAUGUUGAUUUCAGGACCAGACAGAGGAGAGUGGUAGGAUGAUGCCUCAUGUUGUUUCCAGGACCAGACUGAGGAGAGUGGUAGGAUGAUGCAUCAUGUUGUUUCCAGGACCAGACUGAGGAGAGUGGUAGGAUGAUGCAUCAUGUUGUUUCCAGGACCAGACUGAGGAGAGUGGUAGGAUGAUACAUCAUGUUGUUUCCAGGACCAGACUGAGGAGAGUGGUAUGUGAAAAAUGUUGUUUCAUGCACCGGAGUGUCCAAAAUGGAACUCUAUUCCCUACUUAGUGCACUCCGUUUGAUCAAAGCGCUAUGGGCCCUGGUCAAACGUACUACACCACAUAAAAAAUUGGGACAAUCCUCAAAUCUUCCCCACAGAGGAGCAGCCAGCCUCGACACAGGUGGUCGGUGGGGUCACUGAUCUGAGAUCAGCGUAUCCACACCAACUCCCUACCUUGACCACCAGAGGGAGAAGGCAAACUGAUCUUCCAUCAGAUUUCUUGGUUAACACCAUUCUUCUCUUUCUCUUAACGUGAACCAUGCGGAACCAAGCAGACCGCGUCUGGGCUGAUAAAUCACCGAUAUAACGGGCACAGUAUCUGAACACACUGCACCUAGACGACAGACCUUCUUUCACUCACCAACGGAAGAAACGCUGAAGAAGUUAAGACUUCUAACUGAAGAUCAUGUCUCUGAUGCUACUGCUGGUGUUGGUGUGCCAAACCAUGGCGUCACCUCGACUCUCAGCAUCUGACCCCUGUGUUCUAGAACUAGAGGAGUUGAGACGUGAUGUCCGUAUUCUGGAGAACAAACUGUUGAUCGGAGUGUGGCAGCUCAACCAUGUCAAGACACACAGCUACAUCAUCACCCCCCUACUACCCAG